UACAGAGGUCCCAAGCGUUGUUCGGAUUUACUGGGCGUAAAGGGUGCGUAGGCGGUCGGGUAAGUCUGGUGUGAAAUCUUCGAGCUUAACUCGGAAACUGCAUUCGAUACUGCCGUGCUUGAGGACUGGAGAGGAGACUGGAAUUUACGGUGUAGCGGUGAAAUGCGUAGAUAUCGUAAGGAAGACCAGUGGCGAAGGCGGGUCUCUGGACAGUUCCUGACGCUGAGGCACGAAGGCCAGGGGAGCAAACGGG
rnacentral:rRNA from 1 species